UACGGGGGGGGCAAGCGUUGUUCGGAAUUAUUGGGCGUAAAGGGCCAGUAGGCGGCCAACUAAGUCCGACGUGAAAUCCCAAGGCUUAACCUUGGAACUGCGUCGGAUACUGGAUGGCUUGAAUGCGGGAGAGGGAUGCAGAAUUCCAGGUGUAGCGGUGAAAUGCGUAGAUAUCUGGAGGAAUACCGGUGGCGAAGGCGGCAUCCUGGACCGACAUUGACGCUGAACGGCGAGAGCUAGGGGAGCAAACGGG
rnacentral:rRNA from 1 species